AGUGAACGCUGGCGGUAGGCCUAACACAUGCAAGUCGAACGGCAGCACAGGAGAGCUUGCUCUCUGGGUGGCGAGUGGCGGACGGGUGAGGAAUACAUCGGAAUCUACUCUGUCGUGGGGGAUAACGUAGGGAAACUUACGCUAAUACCGCAUACGACCUACGGGUGAAAGCAGGGGACCUUCGGGCCUUGCGCGAUUGAAUGAGCCGAUGUCGGAUUAGCUAGUUGGCGGGGUAAAGGCCCACCAAGGCGACAAUCCGCAGCGGGUCUGAGAGGUGGAUCAGCCACAAUGGAACUGAGACACCGACCAGCCUCCUACGAGAGGCAGCAGUGGGGAAUAUUGGACAAUGGGCGCAAGCCUGAUCCAGCCAUACCGCGUGGGUGAAGAAGGCCUUCGGGUUGUAAAGCCCUUUUGUUGGGAAAGAAAUCCAGCUGGCUAAUACCCGGUUGGGAUGACGGUACCCAAAGAAUAUGCACCGGCUAACUUCGUGCCAGCCGCCGCAGUAA
rnacentral:rRNA from 1 species